rnacentral:rRNA from 1 species
CCUACGGGAGUCAGCAGUGGGGAAUAUUGGACAAUGGGCGAAAGCCUGAUCCAGCCAUGCCGCGUGUGUGAAGAAGGCCUUCGGGUUGUAAAGCACUUUCAGUGGGGAAGAAAGCCUUGGGGCUAAUACCCUCGAGGAAGGACAUCACCCACAGAAGAAGCACCGGCUAACUCCGUGCCAGCAGCCGCGGUAAUACGGAGGGUGCGAGCGUUAAUCGGAAUUACUGGGCGUAAAGCGCGCGUAGGCGGUCUGAUAAGCCGGUUGUGAAAGCCCCGGGCUCAACCUGGGAACGGCAUCCGGAACUGUCAGGCUAGAGUGCAGGAGAGGAAGGUAGAAUUCCCGGUGUAGCGGUGAAAUGCGUAGAGAUCGGGAGGAAUACCAGUGGCGAAGGCGGCCUUCUGGACUGACACUGACGCUGAGGUGCGAAAGCGUGGGUAGCAAACAGGAUUAGAUACCCUAGUAGUC